GAUCAACGCUGGCGGCGUGUCUAAUACAUGCCAGUCGAGCGAACAGACGAGGAUCUUGCUCCUCUGACGUUAGCGGCGGACGGGUGAUUAACACGUGGAUAACCUACCUAUAAGACUGGUAUAACUUCGGGAAACCUGAGCUAAUACCGUAUAAUAGAUGGAACCGCAUGGUGCAUUAGUGAAAGACGGUUUUGUUGUCACGUAUAGAUGGUGUCGCGCCGCAUUAGGUAGUGGGUAAGGUAACGGCUUACCAAGGCAACGUUCCGUAGCCGACCUGAGAGGCUGAUCGCCCACAUUGGAAGUCGGACACGAUCGGUACCCCUGCGGGCGGGACCAGUAGUAAAUGUUCCGAAAUGGGCGAAAGCCUGACGGAGCAACACCGCGGGAGUGAUGACGGUAUUCUGACCGUAUAACUCUGUUAUUAGCAGAGAACAAAUGUGUACGUACCUCUGCACGUCUUGAGGGUACCUAAUCGGAAGGCGACGGGUAAGUCCGUG
rnacentral:rRNA from 1 species